UUUAGUUAGAGAGCAGGUAGGCUCGCUAGCUUUUGCCAACAGGGCAAGAGGUUGUAUCCCUAUCAACACUAUGAAGAGACAAUUUAUUCUAUCAUGUUGCGUCUCUACCAUCACUUGCUUCUUAGGGUAUAAGCAAGACCCAACCAACUUGCAGGGACCUCCUCCUCCACUGGGCCGGUGAACCUCCAUCGUGUAUUUUCCA